UCCCACGAUCUACCUCAGGCAAACAAGCCGCCACACAACAAGCCGCUAAACGCAUCUGAGCCCCCAUUCAUCACGUUCACCUCACCUGCCCGGACUGCGCCCCCGCCUCCCUCCCCACCGCCGUGCUCCCUUUGCCUUCGGAUCGCUCCCCUCUGUGGUUGUACGCCGCCCGCCGCCCGCGCAACCUUCCUUCACCCCGCUCGACGUCGUCUUGCCCGUCCGCCUCUCCUAUGGCGCACGGCACCUGCCGCCGGACCCGCCCUUCCACCAUCUCCUGUGUCGCCGGCAGAACCUCACUUCGUGCUGCUCGCCAUCGGAUUGGCCCGCCCUUGCGCCUCUCCUACGACGCCAGCCUCCAGCUCCGCCCUCCUCCAUCUCCUAUGGUGCACGCCGCCCGCCGCCGGCCCCGCCCUUUGGCAUCUCCUAUGGCGCGCGGCGCCCGUCCGUCGGCCUCUCUUGUGGCUAACGGCUGUUGCUGCUCGAUGUCUCGAACAACGCUACAGAGUGGCCCUGCCACGCCUUCAUCGUAUACCUCAUCGGUAAAUUUCUUCCAGUUUUUUCUGUUUGAUUUGAUAUACUGUGCUCCAAAUUCUAAAUUUUGAAGGCUAUGGAUGGAAUUCCCCUUUCAUUUCAUAUAUUGCAAUGUAGCAUUUUAGUUCAAAGUUCGGAAACUGGAUUCUGUCUAUAGUUAUUCUCAUGUCCCUCAUGACUCUCUGCAUGUGUACUUCUUCUCAUGUUAAACUAAUGUGUGAUACAAGGUCUUUGCAUUUUCAAUGAUCCAUCCCUUGAGCCAUAUGAUCUGUCAGAUGAUGACACUAAUUUACAGAAGAAUUUCACACAUCUAAGUGAUCUUGCAGCUGCACUGCGAAAAUAUGACCAUCGUGAUGGUGUUGAAAGCGCUCUUAGUUCUGCUGAAAAGCUUGUGAGAGCAUCACCUGAUGAGCUGUGCCACUGCUCGGGUGAUCUUGUUCAAGCACGUGUACAUGUUCCUUGUUCUCGUGUCAAGGUGGAAGGCGAGGAAGAUUCUGCUGAAGAAAACCGACAGAAGGCAUUAGUCGCCUUGCUGAUGAAUAACCAACCAGGCGCAGAUCCAUUUCAGUCUUGAGCAUGCCCCAUUUACGGACCUAACGAGCACUGGUAAUAAUCAACAUCAUCCCGGGAAAAACGAAAUCUGACAUUUUAUUCUGAAUUUAUCUAACACUAUGGGAAUACGGUAAAUGAUAACAGUCAGAAAUCUGACAUUAUGAAAAAAACUAGACCAUUAGGGAGAAAAGCCCCUGCUGUUUUCUAUCUAAUAAAGAAGGAGAUGUCAGACCCGUGUAAGAACCGAGGUUCGAACCCGCACCGUCUAGGAGGCAGCACUGCACUCUGACCAUUGAGCUGAGAGCUCAUCUACCGAAAAAUCUGACAUUAAACCGGUAGGUCCCGACAUCAAUUGCCGGGUGUGUUCUAUAUGAAAGCUUGGGAUUUACCCUGCUAAUGUGCCAACUUUGGUUUUAGUUCAGGAAGAAGAAGGUUGUGCACAAGAUGGCGUUGAGUGUAACUGGCUUGAGGCUUUUCUUAAUUCCUUGGUUCUUUCUACCAAAAGUACUUGUAUUAGGACGUUUUCUACACAUUUGGGAUAGAUUAUCAAGAAAAUUUGUCUAAAGUUUGAUCAAAUUCAUUUAGAUUCAGUUUAAUUAUAGGGCUGUUCAUUUUUUACAUUGAUUUUAUCAUGUUAUAAACUUGUCAUACCAUAUAGUUCUUAAAACUGCAUAUGUUUUCCUACUGCAGGUGCCACUUGUUGUCACAAUUGCAAAGAGACGGUGCAUGUAUGCAUAUUUUAACUCUCAUGAGUACUUGUAGAAGGAGAAUUGUACAAUGCUGGAAGAUGUUAUUUGCAUAUGCAAAGUGGGAUCAUAUCUUUUGAAUGAUUCCGUUAGAAUGAGGUCACUCCUUGACUAACUCGAACUUGAAUCAUUUGCUUUUUUUUUAUCAUGGUUGGAGAUGUGGUGUAGCAUGAGCAGAAGCUAAUGGACGUGUCAGCGAGCCCCGAGGGAGAUGCCCCCUGCAACAUGAAGAACACCAUCUGGACAAAGGGGAGGUACACAGAUGGCCAAGGAUGAAAGGAGGCGUGCAGGUCUGCGUUUCACAGUUAUCUCUUUCAGCACCAGCGAUUAAAUGAAAUGCCUACUUUAAAGCUGUGUGAAUCCAUUAUUUUCCUUUGAGUUUGCUAUUGAGGUGACUUGGAAACCUUUUCUUUAACUUGGUGGAUGUAGUUGUAGUGAUGGAGACUUGCCUGAAUGUUGCUUUCCUGGGCGUGAAGUGCCUUGAAUUAUCAUAAAUUCUGUAUAAAUGUACGUACCUGUCUGCACCUGAUGGUGAUCUGCCAAAGUUUUGUACUUUCGAGGAAAAAAGAGAGGAUGAAGUAGCCGUCUUCCAGUCAUCUGGCAAGCAACAGUCCAGUGCAUAUUGCAUUGCAGACCUUGUUAGCAAGCAUCAUCGAGUGCCAUUGUAUCUUGAAUAACACAAUUGUACAGGGAUCUUGAAUAG